rnacentral:tRNA from 1 species
GCGCCAGUAGCUCAGUUGGAAAGAGCAGCGGCCUUCUAAGCCGUUGGCCGAGGGUUCGAAUCCUUCCUGGCGCGCCA